rnacentral:piRNA from 1 species
AGGGCAGUUAUUUUAUUCUUUAGGGAUAG